UAUGUUUGGAAAAACCGGUUG
rnacentral:piRNA from 1 species